AUUGAACGCUGGCGGCAUGCCUUACACAUGCAAGUCGAACGGUAACAGGUUAAGCUGACGAGUGGCGAACGGGUGAGUAAUGUAUCGGAACGUGCCCAGUCGUGGGGGAUAACUGCUCGAAAGAGCAGCUAAUACCGCAUACGACCUGAGGGUGAAAGCGGGGGAUCGCAAGACCUCGCGCGAUUGGAGCGGCCGAUAUCAGAUUAGGUAGUUGGUGGGGUAAAAGCCUACCAAGCCAACGAUCUGUAGCUGGUCUGAGAGGACGACCAGCCACACUGGGACUGAGACACGGCCCAGACUCCUACGGGAGGCAGCAGUGGGGAAUUUUGGACAAUGGGCGCAAGCCUGAUCCAGCCAUGCCGCGUGCGGGAAGAAGGG
rnacentral:rRNA from 1 species